rnacentral:rRNA from 1 species
GGCGAGUGAAGCGGCAAAAGCUCAAAUUUGAAAUCCUGCGGGAAUUGUAAUUUGAAGGUUUCGUGGUCUGAGUCGGCCGCGCCCAAGUCCAUUGGAACAUGGCGCCUGGGAGGGUGAGAGCCCCGUAUGGCGCACGCCGACUCUUUGUACACCGCGGCUCCGACGAGUCGAGUUGUUUGGGAAUGCAGCUCUAAGUGGGUGGUAAAUUCCAUCUAAAGCUAAAUAUUGGCGAGAGACCGAUAGCGAACAAGUACAGUGAUGGAAAGAUGAAAAGCACUUUGAAAAGAGAGUGAAAACUC